AGCAGCCGCGGUAAUUCCAGCUCCAAUAGCGUAUAUUAAAGUUGCUGCAGUUAAAAAGCUCGUAGUUGAAUUUCGGGAUCAUCAUGUCGGUCGUGCCUCGGUACGUACUGGCAUUGUUGGUUUCUACCUUCUGACGAACCAUGAUGUCAUUUAUUUGGUGUCGUGGGAAAUCAGGACUGUUACUUUGAAAAAAUUAGAGUGUUUAAAGCAGGCUCACGCUUGAAUACAUUAGCAUGGAAUAAUGAAAUAGGACGUUUGAUUCUAUUUUGUUGGUUUCUAGGAUCGACGUAAUGAUUAAUAGGGAUAGUUGGGGGCAUUAGUAUUCAAUUGUCAGAGGUGAAAUUCUUGGAUUUAUUGAAGACUAACUACUGCGAAAGCAUUUGCCAAGGAUGUUUUCAUUAAUCAAGAACGAAAGUUAGGGGAUCGAAGACGAUCAGAUACCGUCGUAGUCUUAACCAUAAACUAUGCCGACUAGGGAUCGGAUGAUGUAAUUUUUAAUGA
rnacentral:rRNA from 1 species